AUACGGAGGGUGCAAACGUUAAUCGGAAUUACUGGGCGUAAAGCGCGCGUAGGUGGUUUAGUAAGUCGGAUGUGAAAGCCCUGGGCUCAACCUGGGAAUUGCAUUCGAUACUGCUUGACUCGAGUAUGGGAGAGGGAAGUGGAAUUUCCGGUGUAGCGGUGAAAUGCGUAGAUAUCGGGAGGAACACCAGUGGCGAAGGCGGCUUUCUGGACCAAUACUGACGCUGAGGCGCGAAAGCGUGGGGAGCAAACAGGAUUAGAAACCCCGGUAGUCC
rnacentral:rRNA from 1 species